CAAUAGCGUAUAUUUAAGUUGCUGCAGUUAAAAAGCUCGUAGUUGGAUUUCGGGUGGGAAUGGCCGGUCCGCCGUUUCGGUGUGCACUUGCUACGCCCACCUUGAUGCCGGGGACGUGCUCUUGAGUUCACGCUCGGGACACGGAGUCGGCGAGGUUACUUUGAGUAAAUUAGAGUGUUCAAAGCAGGCCUACGCUCUGAAUACAUUAGCAUGGAAUAACACGAUAGGACUCUGGCCUAUCUUGUUGGUCUGUAGGACCGGAGUAAUGAUUAAGAGGGACAGUCGGGGGCAUUCGUAUUUCAUUGUCAGAGGUGAAAUUCUUGGAUUUAUGAAAGACGAACUACUGCGAAAGCAUUUGCCAAGGAUGUUUUCAUUAA
rnacentral:rRNA from 1 species